CAGUAGCCGCGGUAAUACGUAGGGUGCAAGCGUUAAUCGGAAUUACUGGGCGUAAAGCGUGCGCAGGCGGUUUGUUAAGACAGAUGUGAAAUCCCCGGGCUCAACCUGGGAACUGCAUUUGUGACUGGCAGGCUAGAGUAUGGCAGAGGGGGGUGGAAUUCCGCGUGUAGCAGUGAAAUGCGUAGAUAUGCGGAGGAACACCGAUGGCGAAGGCAGCCCCCUGGGCCAAUACUGACGCUCAUGCACGAAAGCGUGGGGAGCAAACAGGAUUAGAGACCCCUGUAGUCCCUGUCUCUUAUAA
rnacentral:rRNA from 1 species